rnacentral:rRNA from 1 species
CCUACGGGAGGCAGCAGUGGGGAAUAUUGCACAAUGGGGGGAACCCUGAUGCAGCGACGUCGCGUGAGUGAAGAAGUACUUCGGUAUGUAAAGCUCCAUCAGCAGGGAAGAAAAUGACGGUACCUGAAUAAGAAGCCCCGGCUAACUACGUGACAGCAGCCGCGGGAAUACGUAGGGGGCAAGCGUUAUCCGGAUUUACUGGGUGUAAAGGGGGCGUAGACGGUUAUGCAGAUGUGAAGGUAAAGCCCAAGGCUCAACCAUGGGACUGCUUUGGAAACUGUAAAGCUGGAGUGCAGGAGAGGUAUGCGGAAUGCGUAGUGUAGCGGUGAAAUGCGUAGAUAUUAGGAGGAACACCAGUUGCGAAGGCAGCAUACUGGACUGUAACUGACGUUGAGGCACGAAGGCGUGGGGAGCAAACAGGAUUAGAUACCCGGGUAGUC